UACGGGGGGUGCGAGCGUUGUCCGGAAUUACUGGGCGUAAAGCGCACGUAGGCGGCUUUGUAAGUUAGAGGUGAAAGCCCAGGGCUUAACCCUGGAAUUGCCUUUAAGACUGCAUCGCUAGAAUCGUGGAGAGGUGAGUGGAAUUCCGAGUGUAGAGGUGAAAUUCGUAGAUAUUCGGAAGAACACCAGUGGCGAAGGCGACUCACUGGACACGUAUUGACGCUGAGGUGCGAAAGCGUGGGGAGCAAACAGG
rnacentral:rRNA from 1 species